rnacentral:rRNA from 1 species
AGUGAACGCUGGCGGUAGGCCUAACACAUGCAAGUCGAACGGCAGCACAGGAGAGCUUGCUCUCUGGGUGGCGAGUGGCGGACGGGUGAGGAAUACAUCGGAAUCUACUUUUUCGUGGGGGAUAACGUAGGGAAACCUACGCUAAUACCGCAUACGACCUACGGGUGAAAGCAGGGGAUCUUCGGACCUUGCGCGAUUGAAUGAGCUGAUGUCGGAUUAGCUAGUUGGCGGGGUAAAGGCCCACCAAGGCGACGAUCCGUAGCUGGUCUGAGAGGAUGAUCAGCCACACUGGAACUGAGACACGGUCCAGACUCCUACGGGAGGCAGCAGUGGGGAAUAUUGGACAAUGGGCGCAAGCCUGAUCCAGCCAUACCGCGUGGGUGAAGAAGGCCUUCGGGUUGUAAAGCCCUUUUGUUGGGAAAGAAAUCCAGCUGGUUAAUACCCGGUUGGGAUGACGGUACCCAAAGAAUAAGCACCGGCUAACUUCGUGCCAGCCGCCGCGGUAA